rnacentral:lncRNA from 1 species
AGGCCUGAGAGUCAUUACAAACCUGAGACUUCAGUUUGCACUGCAUCUACAAACAAGACAGACACUGUGCCUAUGUUCAUGUUUUCUUGGGGUGACAAUGAGGCAGUGAAUUCAACUACUUUGAUAGGAAAGGCACUUUGUGAAACUGGCCAGACCUCCAGAAGGAAACUAGAAACCAAACCAUCAUCUCUGACUUCCUCCUUACGGGCUUCUCUGACCACCCAGAGCAGCAGCCUCUCCUGUUCACACUCUUCUUGGGAAUGUACCUGGUGACCUUAUUGGGGAAUCUGUUCAUCAUCCUGGCCAUUGUCUCUGACCAGCAUCUUCAUACACCCAUGUACUUCUUCCUGGCCAACCUUUCCUUCAUUGAUAACUGCUUAACCUGCACCAUUGUCCCCAAAGUGCUGACUAACAUCCAAACCCAGCAUCAAACCAUCUCCCACACUGGGUGCCUUCUGCAGAUGUAUUUCUUCAUGACAAUGGCCAUGCUUGAUGACUUCCUACUGGCUGUGAUGGCCUAUGAUCGCUAUGUGGCCAUCUG